UGGCAGUGGUGCAGGGGACUCACAGUGGUGGGCAGGCCUAAAUGUUCUUGUGCUGAACUCGGUGUCUCAGAGUGCCUGGUGGCCAGGCUGAGGGAGACCUGCCCUGGGCUUCUUCUCAUAUCAGGCCCUGAGGACCCUGAGUGUUGUGAGACAUGCCCUGUGCUGCCCAUUGAGGCUGGGUUGUUCUGGCCAGUGGCCUGAAGCACGUGGACUUAGUCAUCCAUCCUCUCACUUGUUCCCAAGUGCUUUCCCUGUGUGGUGUCUUGAGGCUGCAGCCUUGAGGCCUGGGAAACAGCACAAUAUGUUCACUGCAGACUGUCUCCUGCCAAGUGACUGUUAGGCAGCCUUUGUGAGACUGCGGUGCCCCAUUACUGCAGGGUUCCAAGUUCUGUUGGGACCUGUCACCAUGGAAGUGAAGUCAUGUGCUGGGGUCCAUAAGAUGAGCCUCCUGGUCUGGUUGGAAAUCAGGCAGCCCAGAGCCUGGCAGAGGUCUGCACAAUGAGGACAGCACAGGCAGGCAAGCCACAUGCCCUGAUGGAGCCCCCAGAGCAGACCUCCCUGGACAGCUGCCCCAUCAGUGGGCCCUCCUUCGUGGAUCCCAAAGGGGCCUGCAUUUUUUCCCCACAGGAGGGCAUGGUGGGAAGGAGCACCUCCAUUCCAAGCUGAAGUCCCAGCGGCAGAGCCUGUGCCAACUGCACCUGCAGGUGCUUCCUCAGCUCUGGCACCACAGCCAGAGCCAGAACCAGGAUUCCCUUGUCCUUUAACUGCACUUCUGGGGCUCCUGGUGGCUUCUCAGAGGUUGUCAGCUCCUGAGAUUCCCCUGGGGCCAGCUCCUGCCCCACACCUGCCAUUCCCCUCUAUUACUGCUGCUCAUGUUUUAUUCUUUACUUUUGUGCUUAUAUUCUGGAUUUUUGUAAAUAAUAGAGCAAUUUUAAAAUAAAA
rnacentral:lncRNA from 1 species